CUUCUAGCCAUGCGAGUCGAAGAGGGUUCGGCCCUCGGCGUACUGCUCAGUAACACGUGGAUAACCUACCCUGGGAUGGGGGAUAAUCUCGGAAAACUGAGGAUAAUACCCCAUAGGUCUGGGAGGCUGGAAUGCGCCCAGACUAAAAACUCCGGUGUCCCAGGAUGGGUCUGCGGCCUAUCAGGUUGUAGUGGGUGUAAAGGACCCACUAGCCGACGACGGGUACGGGCCAUGGGAGUGGUAGCCCGGAGAUGGAUUCUGAGACACGAAUCCAGGCCCUACGGGGCGCAGCAGGCGCGAAAACUUCGCAAUGCGCGAAAGCGCGACGAGGGGAUUCCAAGUGCAUGCACUCAGUGCAUGCUGUUUUCCAGUGUAAACAGCUGGGAGAGUAAGGGCUGGGUAAGACUGGUGCCAGCCGCCGCGGUAAUACCAGCGGCCCUAGUGGUGAUCGUUAUUAUUGGGCCUAAAGCGUCCGUAGCCGGCUCGGUAAAUCUCUGG
rnacentral:rRNA from 1 species